rnacentral:rRNA from 1 species
UAAAAGGUACUCCGGGGAUAACAGGCUGAUCUCCCCCAAGAGCUCACAUCGACGGGGAGGUUUGGCACCUCGAUGUCGGCUCGUCACAUCCUGGGGCUGAAGAAGGUCCCAAGGGUUCGGCUGUUCGCCGAUUAAAGUGGCACGCGAGCUGGGUUCAGAACGUCGAGAGACAGUUCGGUCCCUAUCUGUUGUGGGCGCAGGAAAAUUGAGAGGAGCUGACCUUAGUACGAGAGGACCGGGUCGGACGUACCUCUGGUGUACCAGUUGUAACGCCAGUUGCACCGCUGGGUAGCUAUGUACGGAUGGGAUAAGCGCUGAAAGCAUCUAAGUGCGAAGCCCACCUCAAGAUGAGUUUUCCCUUAAGGGUCGUCAGAGACUAUGACGUUGAUAGGCAGCAAGUGUAAAGACAGUAAUGUCAAAGCUGAGCUGUACUAAUUACCCGAUUGCCUUUCUUGUG